rnacentral:SRP_RNA from 1 species
GCUGGGUGCAGUGGUGUGUGCCUGUAGUCCCAGCUACUCAGGAGGCUGAGGGAGGAGGAUCGCUUGAGCCCAGGUGUUUGAGGCUGCAGUGAGUCAUGAUUGCACCACUGCACUCCAGCCUGGGUGACAGAGUGAGACCUUAUCUCUA